rnacentral:rRNA from 1 species
UGACCUCAGAUCAGGUAGGAC